UACAGAGGGGGCAAGCGUUGUUCGGAAUUACUGGGCGUAAAGGGCGCGUAGGCGGCCUUCUAAGUCGGAUGUGAAAUCCCCGGGCUCAACCUGGGAAUUGCAUUCGAGACUGCAUUGCUAGAGUAUGGGAGAGGGAAGUGGAAUUUCCGGUGUAGCGGUGAAAUGCGUAGAUAUCGGAAGGAACAUCAGUGGCGAAAGCGACUUCCUGGACCAAUACUGACGCUCAUGUGCGAAAGCGUGGGGAGCAAACAGG
rnacentral:rRNA from 1 species